AAUGUUACAGAAUUAUACUUAACCUCAUAAGUAUAAUCAUAUUUACUAAUCUUUAGUAAAUCAUGACAAAUCAAUCUUUGUGGUGGACCUUGACCAGCGCACACCCAGUGUACCUAAUUCCUUAGUCCUUCAAUUGACUCACAUAUACAUGUGAUCAAAGAAUUAGUCUUAAUUUUCAAAGAUGAAAAUUCUCAUUCAUCAUACAAUACAACUUGUAUGAUUCCAAGUUUCUGUCCAAUUGAAACUUGGGUGAUGAAAAACUUUCUUCAUUCGGUAAAUUCAGACACUACCACAAAUGAAGGAAUCAAAUCCACUUUCCAAUAUUGCUAUUACUGGAAACAUAUAAGCAACAAUUUUCCACAGAUGCCAUUGUAAGGAUAUAUUUUUUUUUAUAAAAUAAAGAAAAUUAAAAACCUUUUUUUUCUUUUAUUUUAAAACUUUGCGGAAAAACUUAUCCUUACAAUCCACAUGAAAACCUUGUUGUUAUCUAUUCCUAAGUAAUAUAUCAUAACUCUCAAGCAAUAGCUCAAAAUUCUGAUCACCGAACCAUGUGAUCGAAACCCAUUUUCGCAAUCAGAAUCAGCAUAUACUUCUUUUAAGCUUCCUAUCCUUUCUUUGAUUCUUAAAAACAUCAACAUGUGACCCAUUCACAUUAUGUAAUAAGAAUCUCCAAAUAGAAACUUAAUAGAGUUAGUCAGUGGACUUUAACUGAAGUAGAGUCAAACUUUUUGACUUGAUCAAUCUUAUGAUCUUUCAGGUAAAUAUGGCAGCUUCGCAAUCAGUGUCCCUCCCUUUGGCAAUAAAACAUAUAGACCCUUUGGUAAUGGCACAUGAGACUAUCUCAGACUUAGCCUUUCUCUUUACCAUUUGGUCAACCGAGUUGACUAUGGCCAAUCCCUUUCCAUUGGGAAGAGAAAUCAUUUUCUAGAUAUAUCCAGUGCUACCAUUGUGAAUGUCCAUUUAAAGUUUGGGAAGUUGAACUUCUAACAAAAUUUGCUUUACUAGUGUUCCAAAUCAUUGCUAAUUCCACAGCACCAAGCAAAUAGAUAAGAUCAUUAAGGGUCAUGUCAUAGUCUAUCUCAUAAUAGUCCCAAAGGGACUCACUAUGUUACCAAGAAAGUGAUUUAACAUCCAACUUUCACAAGACUUUGACACCCAACUCUCCCGGCUUUUCAAUAUGUGACUUUAUCUCCAAGAUGUGAGCACACAUAGACUAAGCUUGCCAAUAGGGAUUGAGUGACUUUAAACUUUUCAAGAACUUGUGGGUGAGGGAGAAUAAUUGGAGGAGGUGGAGGAAGUGAAGCAUGAUGUUGAGGGACACCAUCUUCAAGAGAUUUGGGAAGAUCAUAGUUGUCUGAACCAGACAUCUAUAAUGGGAGAAAAUCAAGUUAGUUGAUUCAAAGUCCUUAAUAUAACACCCAAUAUGAAAUAUUAAGGCUAGGACCCAACACAAUAUUUUAUAAUUUGGAAGAGGGAUGCCGUAAUCCAAGCUAUAAAAUAUUUGAAGGUAGGCGAAUGACGAUUCACCAAUUUCCACCAUGAAAAACGAAAUAAUUUAUUAGGUUUUAAUUGGAUUUGAAAUUCCUAGAUCUUUUGAGAUUCAUUGAACUUUUCAAUGGCAUGUUUCAAUCUCGAGUGUGCCCUCUCAAAUUUUGUGACUGGGANCUUUUCAACCCCUGCAACUUCACGAAUUGAAACUUUGUUUUCUAUAAUUAACAUUGCUAACUUGCAACACUAAACGUAAUAAUCAUGCUCCCACUAACAUGAUGAUUAUCAGCAUAACACUUAUGCUCCCACUAGCUCUGACAUAUUUCCAGAAAUCUGCUGGACUUCUGAAAUUUAGAUUCAUACACCCUUUCUUAGAUAGAUCACAUGUGUGUCUAAACAAUUUUCAGAACUAUGAAAAUGAAUACCGUAAUCAUAGUCUUAAUUGUUUAGACGGUGGCCAUUUCUCACAAGUCCAUGUUAGUGUGCCGGUGAACCACACGCGCUCCACUAACGACUUUUGAAAAUGCAAAUAACACAAUUGAUAUCUACGUAAAAUCUACUUAGUGAAAGCGUUUCCUCACCAUCAUUUUCAUGAAUCGGAGAGAAACCUUAUGACACUUAGAUUUUAUAGUGUAUGAGUUCCUAUCCAUGUGAAUUUGUCAAAACCAUAAUCACAAGAUAAGGUUAGUGACAAAUUCAGCCUUACAUGGAUUAAACUUGUUCAAUCUUAGUUUCUUGUCACCUUGGUAGCACAAGGCCCACCAAUGCUUCCAAGUUGAACUCUGAUAACUCACAUGCAAAUUCAACUUAUUUGAAGUAGGUACAGAAAUAAGAAUUAUGUCAACACGAUAGGUUGCAAACCUUAAGUCGUGUGCUAGUGAUAAAUUACAGGUUUUACUCUUGAUUAAAUCUUGAAACUCUUUCAGGAUCUUUAAGGCUCCCACUGUCCCCUUGACAUAUAAGUUUCCCCAGUCAAGAACCAUUCCUUGACAAAACAAAUAUUCAAGGGAUAGUGCGGAUUCUUAUCAAGACUAACACUUCACACAAUUGGUCUUAGUUGGUCUUUGUCUCAUCCAAGACAUCACAACUUACCAAUCUCAAAUGUACAAGAGUAGAAAACAUUUUACUCUUACAUUUGACUAGUGUUAAUAAAUCUUCCUUUAUGUCACUCAAAGUUACAAUCUUGGAGUAUGACUCUAAGAAUUGUUUUGGAACGAAGUAUGACUCAUCUUCUUGAUUUUAACCAAUCCAACAAUUCAUGACCUCUCUUCUUAGCCAUAACAAUGCACUAAGACGUCCUUAGAGUAUGAAUUUGUGAUAUGGUUUCAUAAUCAUUAAGAUGAUCAUGAAAUACGAUACUAAAGUACUCUCCCAUCCUUUCAGAUUUGAGAAACUUUUAUCUUUCUGCCUAAUUUGAUUCUUCUCAUUUGUUUUGUCAUACAUUGUAACCUUUCCAAUGUUACAGAAUUAUACUUAACCUCAUAAGUAUAAUCAUAUUUACUAAUCUUUAGUAAAUCAUGACAAAUCAAUCUUUGUGGUGGACCUUGACCAGCGCACACCCAGUGUACCUAAUUCCUUAGUCCUUCAAUUGACUCACAUAUACAUGUGAUCAAAGAAUUAGUCUUAAUUUUCAAAGAUGAAAAUUCUCAUUCAUCAUACAAUACAACUUGUAUGAUUCCAAGUUUCUGUCCAAUUGAAACUUGGGUGAUGAAAAACUUUCUUCAUUUGGUAAAUUCAGACACUACCACAAAUGAAAGAAUCAAAUCCACUUUCCAAUAUUGCUAUUACUGGAAACAUAUAAGCAACAAUUUUCCACAGAUGCCAUUGUAAGGAUAUUUUUAAAAUAAAUAAAAUUAAAACCCUUUUUUUUUUUUUUUUUAAAACUUUGCGGAAAAACUUAUCCUUACAAUCCACAUGAAAACCUUGUUGUUAUCUAUUCAUAAGCAAUAUAUUAUAACUCUUAAGCAACAGCUCAAAAUUCUGAUUACCGAACCAUGCGAUCGAAACCCACCUUCGCAAUCAGAAUCAACAUAUACUUACUUUAAGCUUCCUAUCUUUUCUUUGAUUCUUAAAAACAUCAGCAUGUGACCCAUUCACAUUAUGUAAUAAGAAUCUCCAAAUAGGAACUUAAUAGAGUUAGACAGUGGACUUUACCCGAAGUAGAGUCAAACCUCUUGACUUGAUCAACCUUAUGACCUUUCAGGUGAAUAGGGCAGCUUCGCAACCAAUGCCCCUUCCUUUGGCAACAAAACACAUGGACCCUUUGGUAAUGGCACAUGAGACUAUCUCAGACUUAGCCUUUCUCUUUACCAUUUGGUCAACCGAGUUGACUAUGGCCGAUCCCUUUCCAUUGGGAAGAGAAAUCCUUUUCUAGAUAUCCAAUGCUACCAUUGUCAAUGUCCAUUUAAGACUUGGGAAGUUGUUCUUUUAAUCAAAUUUGCUUUACUGGUGUUCCAAAUCAUUGCUGAUUCCACAACACCAAGCAAAUAGAUAACAUCAUUAAGGGUCAUGUCAUAGUCUGUCUCAUAGUAGUCCCAAAGAGACUCACUAUGUUACUAAGAAAGUGAUUGAACAUCCAACUUUCACGAGACUUUGACACCCAACUCUCCCGGCUUGUCAA
rnacentral:lncRNA from 1 species